rnacentral:rRNA from 1 species
UACAGAGGGGGCAAGCGUUAUUCGGAAUUAUUGGGCGUAAAGGGCGCGUAGGCGGCUUUGCAAGUGGCGGGUGAAAUCCCCCGGCUUAACCGAGGAACUGCCUGCCAGACUGUGAGGCUUGAGACCGGAAGAGGUGAGUGGAAUUCCCAGUGUAGCGGUGAAAUGCGUAGAUAUUGGGAGGAACACCAGUGGCGAAGGCGGCUCACUGGACCGGAACUGACGCUGAGGCGCGAAAGCGUGGGGAGCAAACAGG